rnacentral:rRNA from 1 species
UACGGAGGGAGCUAGCGUUGUUUGGAAUUACUGGGCGUAAAGCGCGCGUAGGCGGUUUUUUAAGUCAGAGGUGAAAGCCCAGUGCUCAACACUGGAACUGCCUUUGAAACUGGAAAACUUGAAUCUUGGAGAGGUCAGUGGAAUUCCGAGUGUAGAGGUGAAAUUCGUAGAUAUUCGGAAGAACACCAGUGGCGAAGGCGGCUCAACUGGGCUGACCUUGGCGCUGAGGCGCGAAGGCGUGGGGAGCGAACGGG